rnacentral:Y_RNA from 1 species
GGCUGGUCCGAAGGUAGUGAGUUAUCUCAAUUGACUGUUCACAGUCAGUUACAGAUCGAACUCCUUGUUCUACUCUUUCCCCCCUUCUCACUACUGCACUUGACUAGUUUUAA